UCCCCGAUGGUGUAACGGUUAACAUCGCUGGUUUUCAUAAUAAGAAAAUCCCAAGUGUGAAAUACCACCCAGCAGCCCCGGGUUCGACUCCCGGUCGAGGAA